GGCAGCUAUAAUCUUGGCGGAAUGAAUACCUACUAGGAGCAACCUUCAUCCAAUGACUAACAGGAGCUGGGGUAUCAAUUCCCCAGCUCCCAGUGCUCAGGGGGAACACCAAGACCUAUUCUCCUCGUGGGAGCAAGAAGAUGAAGUGGAGAGGAAGGUUUGAGUCCUUUCUCUCUAUGUAUCUGUCAGGCUAUGCUGCAGUAACAAACAGCCCCCAAUUCUUGGUGGUUGAAAACAACGAAACUUAUUUCUCACUCAUGAAAGAUGUCUAGUGCUGGUCAGCGGGGGGCUUUUCUCUACAGAGUCACUCAGGGACCCAGGCUGGUGUGGGCUCUGCCAUUUUGCAAUGUUGCCAUCUCAGGACAGCAGAAGAGAAGAGAGCACUAGAAAGUGUGGCUCCUGUAAUAAGAUGAUUUCACCUGGAAAUUACACCAGUCAUGUUUGUUCAGAAUCCACUGACCAGAAUGAGUCACAUGACACCCCCUAAUUUUAAGAAGACCCAGUGAUAACCCGCUCACUAAUAUACCCUGAAUUGCCUGCCUUCCUUUCUCUGGCUCGCUUCCCCACUCCCUACUUCCUGAUGCCCUCUGGGAUCACUUUCCAAAUAAAUUAUAUGCACCUGAACUUGUUGUCUUAGCGUCUGCUUCUGGUAGAGCCCAAAUGAAGACACC
rnacentral:lncRNA from 1 species